rnacentral:tRNA from 3 species
GCCGAUGUAGCUCAGUUGGUCAGAGCAGCUGAUUUGUAAUCAGCAGGUCGUGGGUUCGAAUCCCUCCAUCGGCUCAA